GAGUUACAAAGGACGACAUUAGACGAAUCAUCUGGAAAGAUGAAUCAAAGAAGGUAAUAAUCCUGUAGUCGAAAAUGUUGUCUCUCUUGAGUGGAUCCUGAGUACGACGGAGCACGUGAAAUUCCGUCGGAAUCUGGGAGGACCAUCUCCUAAGGCUAAAUACUCUCUAGUGACCGAUAGUGAACCAGUACCGUGAGGGAAAGGUGAAAAGCACCCCGGAAGGGGAGUGAAAUAGAACCUGAAACCGUGUGCUUACAAGUAGUCAGAGCCCGUUAAUGGGUGAUGGCGUGCCUUUUGUAGAAUGAACCGGCGAGUUACGAUUUGAUGCAAGGUUAAGCAGUAAAUGUGGAGCCGUAGCGAAAGCGAGUCUGAAUAGGGCGUUUAGUAUUUGGUCGUAGACCCGAAACCAGGUGAUCUACCCUUGGUCAGGUUGAAGUUCAGGUAACACUGAAUGGAGGACCGAACCGACUUACGUUGAAAAGUGAGCGGAUGAACUGAGGGUAGCGGAGAAAUUCCAAUCGAACCUGGAGAUAGCUGGUUCUCUCCGAAAUAGCUUUAGGGCUAGCCUCAAGUGAUGAUUAUUGGAGGUAGAGCACUGUUUGGACGAGGGGCCCCUCUCGGGUUACCGAAUUCAGACAAACUCCGAAUGCCAAUUAAUUUAACUUGGGAGUCAGAACAUGGGUGAUAAGGUCCGUGUUCGAAAGGGAAACAGCCCAGACCACCAGCUAAGG
rnacentral:rRNA from 1 species